rnacentral:rRNA from 1 species
CUGGCACCUUCGGUGUCCGAGUUGUAAUUUGAAGAAGGUAACUUUGGAGUUGGCUCUUGUCUAUGUUCCUUGGAACAGGACGUCACAGAGGGUGAGAAUCCCGUGCGAUGAGAUGCCCAAUUCUAUGUAAAGUGCUUUCGAAGAGUCGAGUUGUUUGGGAAUGCAGCUCUAAGUGGGUGGUAAAUUCCAUCUAAAGCUAAAUAUUGGCGAGAGACCGAUAGCGAACAAGUACAGUGAUGGAAAGAUUAUUGGCGAGAGACCGAUAGCGAACAAGUACAGUGAUGGAAAGAUGAAAAGAACUUUGAAAAGAGAGUGAAAAAGUACGUGAAAUUGUUGAAAGGGAAGGGCUUGAGAUCAGACUUGGUAUUUUGCGAUCCUUUCCUUCUUGGUUGGGUUCCUCGCAGCUUACUGGGCCAGCAUCGGUUUGGAUGGUAGGAUAAUGACUAAGGAAUGUGGCUCUACUUCGGUGGAGUGUUAUAGCCUUGGUUGAUACU